rnacentral:rRNA from 1 species
CGGAGGGGGCAAGCGUUAUUCGGAAUUAUUGGGCGUAAAGGGCGCGUAGGCGGCUUUUCAAGUGACGGGUGAAAUCCCUCGGCUUAACCGAGGAACUGCCUGUCAGACUGGAAGGCUUGAGACCGGGAGAGGUGAGUGGAAUUCCCAGUGUAGCGGUGAAAUGCGUAGAUAUUGGGAGGAACACCAGUGGCGAAGGCGGCUCACUGGACCGGAACUGACGCUGAGGCGCGAAAGCGUGGGGAGCAAACAGGAUUAGAUACCCUGGUAGUCCACGCCGUAAACGAUGAGUGCUUGGUGUAGCGGGUAUCGACCCCUGCUGUGCCGAAGUCAACACAUUAAGCACUCCGCCUGGGGAGUACGGUCGCAAGACUG